rnacentral:rRNA from 1 species
AGGCGGCGUAAGCUGUCGCUAUGGGAUGGCCCCGCGGUGCAUUAGCUAGUUGGUAAGGUAACGGCUUACCAAGGCGAUGAUGCAUAGCCGAGUUGAGAGACUGAUCGGCCACAUUGGGACUGAGACACGGCCCAAACUCCUACGGGAGGCAGCAGUAGGGAAUCUUCCACAAUGGACGCAAGUCUGAUGGAGCAACGCCGCGUGAGUGAAGAAGGUUUUCGGAUCGUAAAGCUCUGUUGUUGGUGAAGAAGGAUAGAGGUAGUANCUGSCCUUUA